CCUACGGGAGGCAGCAGUGAGGAAUAUUGGUCAAUGGGCUUACGCCUGAACCAGCCAAGUCGCGUGAGGGAAGACUGCCCUAUGGGUUGUAAACCUCUUUUGUCAGGGAGCAAUUGGCGCUACGUGUAGCGUUAUCGAGAGUACCUGAAGAAAAAGCAUCGGCUAACUCCGUGCCAGCAGCCGCGGUAAUACGGAGGAUGCGAGCGUUAUCCGGAUUUAUUGGGUUUAAGGGGUGCGUAGGCGGAAUGCCAAGUCAGCGGGAAAAUCGCGGGGCUCAACCUCGCUCCGCCGUUGAAACUGGCGUUCUUGAGUGGGCGAGAAGUAUGCGGAAUGCGUGGUGUAGCGGUGAAAUGCAUAGAUAUCACGCAGAACUCCGAUUGCGAAGGCAGCAUACCGGCGCCCAACUGACGCUGAAGCACGAAAGCGUGGGUAUCGAACAGGAUUAGAUACCCGGGUAGUC
rnacentral:rRNA from 1 species